rnacentral:rRNA from 1 species
AUACCAGCACCCCGAGUUGUCGGGACGAUUAUUGGGCCUAAAGCAUCCGUAGCCUGUUCUGCAAGUCCUUCGUUAAAUCCACCUGCUCAACGGAUGGGCUGCGGAGGAUACCGCAGAGCUAGGAGGCGGGAGAGGCAAACGGUACUCAGUGGGUAGGGGUAAAAUCCAUUGAUCUACUGAAGACCACCAGUGGCGAAGGCGUUUUGCCAGAACGCGCUCGACGGUGAGGGAUGAAAGCUGGGGGAGCAAACCGGAUUAGAUACCCGGGUAGUCCCAGCUGUAAACGAUGCAGACUCGGUGAUGGGUUGGCUUCGAGCCAACCCAGUGCCGCAGGGAAGCCGUUAAGUCUGCCGCCUGGGGAGUACGGUCGCAAGACUGAAACUCAAAUGAAUUGGCGGGG